rnacentral:rRNA from 1 species
UACGUAGGGGGCGAGCGUUGUCCGAAGUUACUGGGCGUAAAGCGCGCGUAGGCGGUUUCUUAAGUCUGGGGUGAAAGGUUCAGCGCUCAACGCGAACAGUGCCUUGGAUACUGGGAGACUUGAGUCUGGGAGGGGGCAGUGGAAUUCCUGGUGUAGCGGUGAAAUGCGUAGAUAUCAGGAGGAACACCGGUGGCGAAGGCGGUUCUCUGGGCAUUACCUGACGCUGAGGAGCGAAAGUGUGGGGAGCGAACAGG